rnacentral:rRNA from 1 species
GCAUUGCGGCGGCUACACAUGCAGUCGAGCGGUAGCACAGAGAGCUUGCUCUCGGGUGACGAGCGGCGGACGGGUGAGUAAUGUCUGGGAAACUGCCUGAUGGAGGGGGAUAACUACUGGAAACGGUAGCUAAUACCGCAUAACGUCGCAAGACCAAAGUGGGGGACCUUCGGGCCUCAUGCCAUCAGAUGUGCCCAGAUGGGAUUAGCUAGUAGGUGGGGUAACGGCUCACCUAGGCGACGAUCCCUAGCUGGUCUGAGAGGAUGACCAGCCACACUGGAACUGAGACACGGUCCAGACUCCUACGGGAGGCAGCAGUGGGGAAUAUUGCACAAUGGGCGCAAGCCUGAUGCAGCCAUGCCGCGUGUAUGAAGAAGGCCUUCGGGUUGUAAAGUACUUUCAGCGGGGAGGAAGGCGAUAAGGUUAAUAACCUUGUCGAUUGACGUUACCCGCAGAAGAAGCACCGGCUAACUCCGUGCCAGCAGCCGCGGUAAUACGGAGGGUGCAAGCGUUAAUCGGAAUUACUGGGCGUAAAGCGCACGCAGGCGGUCUGUCAAGUCGGAUGUGAAAUCCCCGGGCUCAACCUGGGAACUGCAUUCGAAACUGGCAGGCUAGAGUCUUGUAGAGGGGGGUAGAAUUCCAGGUGUAGCGGUGAAAUGCGUAGAGAUCUGGAGGAAUACCGGUGGCGAAGGCGGCCCCCUGGACAAAGACUGACGCUCAGGUGCGAAAGCGUGGGGAGCAAACAGGAUUAGAUACCCUGGUAGUCCACGCCGUAAACGAUGUCGAUUUGGAGGUUGUGCCCUUGAGGCGUGGCUUCCGGAGCUAACGCGUUAAAUCGACCGCCUGGGGAGUACGGCCGCAAGGUUAAAACUCAAAUGAAUUGACGGGGGCCCGCACAAGCGGUGGAGCAUGUGGUUUAAUUCGAUGCAACGCGAAGAACCUUACCUGGUCUUGACAUCCACAGAACUUGCCAGAGAUGGCCUUGGUGCCUUCGGGAACUGUGAGACAGUGCUGCAUGGCUGUCGUCAGCUCGUGCUGUGAAUGUUGGGUUAAGUCCCGCAACGAGCGCAACCCUUAUCCUUUGUUGCCAGCGGGUUAGGCGGGACUCAAGAUACUGCAGUGAUAACUGGGAGAAGGUGGGGAUGACGUCAGUCAUCAUGGCCUGUACGAACCAAGGC